UACAGAGGGUGCGAGCGUUACUCGGAAUUACUGGGCGUAAAGCGUGCGUAGACGGUUCGUGAUGUCUGAUGUGAAAGCCCCGGGCUCAACCUGGGAAUUGCAUUGGAAACUAGCGGGCUGGAGUGUGGCAGAGGGGGGUGGAAUUCCACGUGUAGCAGUGAAAUGCGUAGAGAUGUGGAGGAACACCGAUGGCGAAGGCAGCCCCCUGGGCUAACACUGACGCUCAGGCACGAAAGCGUGGGGAGCAAACAGG
rnacentral:rRNA from 1 species